CAGGAAGUCUUCCUCUCACUUGGGCUGCUGUCGAACCGCAGAAGUGAAGAAUGGCCCACCGACCCCCACACCCAGCAGGUGUGAAGAAGCACCACCUGACUGCCAUGUUCAGCAUCAUCGCUUCAUUUUCACUCGACCAGCCCACAUGGUCUCCUAGAGGCUGGCUGCAGAUUCAGAGCUGCCUCUCCAAAGCCUCUGUGACCAGAUGACACGAGCAGAUCGGUCCUUGUCCCAUUGUGUCAGCACCAACGGAGGAGCUUCUACAGAUGAAGUCAGGAGAGGUCUGGGUCGGUACAUAUAGUAUACAGAUAGUCAGGUGUGGCAUCACAGAGUGAAGAUGGGAAGACCACACAGAUCCGUCCCCAGGUGACUUCAGCCAUGCCCAGUUCAGCUGGACGUCAUCAUACUUCUGCCACCUCUCAUACUGUCCUCUCCAGGUCUUCCCUCGUCUUCGUCCUGGCUGUGGCUGCAGCUUGGUGGCCGAUGGUCGUCUCUGUGCUGCUGUGGCCCCAAGGUGCCAUAUUUUAUCCUUCACUACAACACAUCAAGUUGUACUUUAUGGAACAUGUAUUAUUGAGUCCAGAAUUUUAAAUCAUUGAAAAUUUUAUAUUGUUUCAUAUAAUUUGAUCUAAAAAUUAACUUCAAGCAAAUCCUUGGCUUAUGUUGAUCUUUGUGGUAAAAAUGAGGUUCACUGAAGUUUUCAAUAUUGAGCAAAAUAUUGUCUGCACUGAAAAGUUUAUGAUAUUUGUCAAAAAAAGGUUCUGGUUUGACUAGGAAUGUACCUAAUAUAGUUUGUGGAAUCUAUACAGAGUAAAACACUGCCUGGUGAACACAGAAAACUCAGGGUGAUCUCCUCACAACUCCUUUUUCUUAUCGAGCAAUCUGGAUGUCCGAAAACAGGAAGAUAUGUUUUAUUGUCCAGAAAUAACAUUUGAAGCUGUUAGUUUAGUGAGUUAUAAAACAGGUUCAUUACUUGAAAUGUGUGUAACGCUGUUGUAUUGCACUUUACUCUGUAUUUUUAUGAUGAUAUUAUGGAUUAAACACAUUGAGAUAAUAACCAUCUGAAAGUCUUUUUUGGGGGGUAAAUCUGAAUAAGUAAUGGUUACCUACUAGCAAUUAAGAGAUAAUUUCACCCAAUUUUAUUGAGUAAGUACCUGUUGAAUAUAUACAUGAAUGUGAGGUAAAUUUAACCCAAUUUAAGUAUUUCAUCGCUUUUUAUUUCAGAUAAUUUAUACUUAAUAUCUGGAAGAAAAUCUACCCAAAAAAGUGGAUGCAAAUUGUUGCCUCAAUUUUAUUGGGUAAAUUCUGUAGGUUACUUUUAUCAGUGCACGUGUGAUUCGAGGUGGCUGCUUGAGAGGAGAAUUUACACAUCCAAUAAAGCUUUAUGAAGCACUUCAUUAUCAAAAAAACUAUUAUCAGCAAUAGCAGUACUUAAGUGUCCAGAGUGAAAGUACACACAGAGGGGCAGAGCUCCACAAUCACACACGAAUCCACAUAGUGUACAACAAAAAGCAGCUUCGAUGAUUUUCUUCACCGUCAACAUAAGGUCAAAUGGUUCUCUACAUAUGUUCUUCUGGAUGUAUGAUUAUUUUGUUGUUUUUAGGGCAUUUUGUGACAGAUUUGAUGACGUUUUGCAAGUGUAUAUGUAAGAAGUUGUUAUCCAUGUGAGAUCAAUAAAUGUUUUAUUGAUA